GGGCGCCGUGGCUGGGGCCGUGCUGGCGCUGGCUGCGGGCUGGUGGGGCCUGCGUGAGGUGUUGCUGCGCCCGGUGGUCGAUACGCUGCGGCGCUCG
rnacentral:tRNA from 1 species